rnacentral:lncRNA from 1 species
GCGUGAUUUUAAAUGCAAAUUAUAGAAAGGUCAAACUGAUCAUCAUGUGUAAUUAUCUAUUAACAUAUAUAACUUUCCAAUAUUUUUUUGCCACGUGGCAAGUUAUUAUUCACGUGGCAAGUUAUUAUUCACCCUCACUAAAGUGUGACCCUUCUCUUUCUCUUCAUCAAAUUUUUAGUUAAUACAUCGAAUUAAUACAUUUAAACAGUCUCACUACCAAACUUUUAAUUAAUGCAUCUAAAUGGUUUAACUGCCAUCUAAAAUCCUCACCUCUCUCUGAUUAAUUCAUUAUGAUUCUUAUCCUUUCCUCCACCAGACAAUUAAUUAAUACAUCUAAACGGUCCCACUACCAAAUUUUCAAUUAAUGCAUUUAAAUGGUUCAACUGUCAUUUAAAAUCCUCACCUUUCUCCAAUUAAUUUAUUUUCUCCAAUUAAUUCAUUACGAUCCUUCCCCUUUUCUUUACUAGACUUCUAAUUAAUGUAUUCAAACGAUCCGCUGUUAUCUACAGUCCACACCUUUUCAUCUCCAAUUAAUUCAUCAAUUUUCUCUAUGUCAUCUUUUUCUAUACACCGCCACCUCCCUUCCUCCCUCACUAAUGCGUGCCCAUCUCCCCCUCUGUCGCAGCUGAAGAAAUUGUUGUCAUCUUCACUAUCACCAUCGUCGGAGAAGGUGUCGCCGGGCGCAUCCCCGCCACUAAUAAUGAAGGACCUUUGGUGACUGUGACAAAUAAGGUGCAUAAGAGAUAUUUGAUAUUUUCUUAUUAUUAAUUACUUCUAUAGUUUCUAUCCGCUGCGAAGCGCGGGCUCCUUCACUAGUUAACAAGCUUUGUCCCGAAAACUCUAACCCAAUCUUAAAUGUUUUUACU